AGAGUUUGAUCCUGGCUCAGGAUGAACGCUAGCGACAGGCUUAACACAUGCAAGUCGAGGGGCAGCACAGGUAGCAAUACCGGGUGGCGACCGGCGCACGGGUGAGUAACGCGUAUGCAACUUACCUAUCAGAGGGGGAUAACCCGGCGAAAGUCGGACUAAUACCGCAUGAAGCAGGGGCCCCGCAUGGGGAUAUUUGCUAAAGAUUCAUCGCUGAUAGAUAGGCAUGCGUUCCAUUAGGCAGUUGGCGGGGUAACGGCCCACCAAACCGACGAUGGAUAGGGGUUCUGAGAGGAAGGUCCCCCACAUUGGUACUGAGACACGGACCAAACUCCUACGGGAGGCAGCAGUGAGGAAUAUUGGUCAAUGGGCGUAAGCCUGAACCAGCCAAGUCGCGUGAGGGAUGAAGGUUCUAUGGAUCGUAAACCUCUUUUAUAAGGGAAUAAAGUGCGGGACGUGUCCCGUUUUGUAUGUACCUUAUGAAUAAGGAUCGGCUAACUCCGUGCCAGCAGCCGCGGUAAUACGGAGGAUCCGAGCGUUAUCCGGAUUUAUUGGGUUUAAAGGGUGCGUAGGCGGCCUUUUAAGUCAGCGGUGAAAGUCUGUGGCUCAACCAUAGAAUUGCCGUUGAAACUGGGGGGCUUGAGUAUGUUUGAGGCAGGCGGAAUGCGUGGUGUAGCGGUGAAAUGCUUAGAUAUCACGCAGAACCCCGAUUGCGAAGGCAGCCUGCCAAGCCAUGACUGACGCUGAUGCACGAAAGCGUGGGGAUCAAACAGGAUUAGAUACCCUGGUAGUCCACGCAGUAAACGAUGAUCACUAGCUGUUUGCGAUACACGGUAAGCGGCACAGCGAAAGCGUUAAGUGAUCCACCUGGGGAGUACGCCGGCAACGGUGAAACUCAAAGGAAUUGACGGGGGCCC
rnacentral:rRNA from 1 species